GAAGAUGGUUCACAGAUGCAAAAGCACAAAGACUAUUAAAAGCCACCCUGAGAUAUCUGCAAACAACAUAUUAUCAAAUUGUUAAGUUUUAGUUAUUUAUUUACUCCAAUUAUUCUUUUUAUUCUCUGUAAAUCUUAUAUCGAAAAUUCAAAUAUAUUUAAGCUCUUGGUUAUUUAACAUAGUAGAUUAAAAAUAUUAUUUUAUUAUAAGCAUAAAUAUAAUACAGAUUAGAUUUUAAAAUAUGUAAUAUUAUUUCUUUGAUCAGAAUUUCACAGUUAGAUUCUAUUGAACAAUAAAAUCACAAAUUUAACCGUUUGAGUCCCAAGCAGCGCGAUCGCGCUGGUUAGAUUUUGUGUCGAAAGGUCCCACGCUAUUGCGCCGCUUGUUUCUCUUCGCAAUCGAUUAAGACAAGCUGUUUGGGAUUUUUCGACCCCUGAGACUUAAACGGUUAGGACAUUUAUUGUUGCAUGUUGCACAAAUCCAAGAUAGAUCCACGUCUCUAACACGACGUUGCAGGUUAAGGGCUUAAUGAUACAAUAAGGUGGAAUAUACUUACGAAGACAAACUCAAGGAAAACAACUCAACAGCUUUCAAUAAGCUAUACUUUGUUACAAGUUGAGGUAAUU